rnacentral:rRNA from 1 species
GCUUGCUGGACAUGAAAGUGGCGCACGGGUGCGUAACGCGUAUGCAACCUACCUUUAUCAGGGGGAUAGCCCGGAGAAAUCCGGAUUAAUACCGCAUAAAAUCACAGCACUGCAUAGUGCAAUGAUCAAACAUUUAUGGGAUAAAGAUGGGCAUGCGUGUCAUUAGCUAGUUGGCGGGGUAACGGCCCACCAAGGCGACGAUGACUAGGGGAUCUGAGAGGAUGGCCCCCCACACUGGUACUGAGACACGGACCAGACUCCUACGGGAGGCAGCAGUAAGGAAUAUUGGUCAAUGGAGGCAACUCUGAACCAGCCAUGCCGCGUGCAGGAAGACUGCCCUAUGGGUUGUAAACUGCUUUUAUCCGGGAAUAAACCUUUCUACGUGUAGGAAGCUGAAUGUACCGGAAGAAUAAGGAUCGGCUAACUCCGUGCCAGCAGCCGCGGUAAUACGGAGGAUCCAAGCGUUAUCCGGAUUUAUUGGGUUUAAAGGGUGCGUAGGCGGCCUGUUAAGUCAGGGGUGAAAGACGGUAGCUCAACUAUCGCAGUGCCCUUGAUACUGAUGGGCUUGAAUGGACUAGAGGUAGGCGGAAUGAGACAAGUAGCGGUGAAAUGCAUAGAUAUGUCUCAGAACACCGAUUG